CGCCUGGUUUAAUCUAUCAGGUAGACUCUGCCCAAUGAAAUUUUAAUGGCCGCAGUAUCUUGACUGUGCUAAGGUAGCAUAAUAAUUUGUCUCUUAAUUGGAAACUUGGAUGAAUGAGUUGACGAAAAGAUCCCUGUCUCAAGGAGAGCAAAGAAAAUUUAUAUUCAGGUAAAAAAUCCUGAGAGCUGUAGAGGGACGAUAAGACCCUAAAAGCUUUACCCCUAGUUCCUGAAACUUUUCUAGUUGAAACAGGCUUACCGGGUUUUCACUGGGGCGGUGUCUCUAUUUGACUAGAGAAAUAAAAACACCCUGAGUGAAACCAACUACCUUUAUUUAGAUUACAAACAAAGUUACUUUAGGGAUAACAGCGUAAUUUUCUGAAAGAGCUCCUAUCGACCAGAGAGUUUACGACCUCGAUGUUGAAUUGAAGACUUGGCUAAAGCAGCAUUUAGCAGUAAGAAGACUGUUCGUCUUUUAAACCUUC
rnacentral:rRNA from 1 species